UACAGAGGGUGCGAGCGUUAAUCGGAAUUACUGGGCGUAAAGCGUGCGUAGACGGUCAUAUAAGUCGGAUGUGAAAGCCCCGGGCUCAACCUGGGAAUUGCAUUCGAGACUGCAUGGCUUGGGUGCGGAAGAGGGAAGCGGAAUUUCCGGUGUAGCGGUGAAAUGCGUAGAUAUCGGAAGGAACACCAGUGGCGAAAGCGGCUUCCUGGUCCGACACCGACGUUCAGGCACGAAAGCGUGGGGAGCAAACAGG
rnacentral:rRNA from 1 species